UAUUUUGAUAAAACAACAUCUUGAAUUUUGAAAUAGAUGGGAAUUAAUAUUGUACCAUAGGUUCAUAACAAAUUCUCACCACCUGCACAACCAUAACAGUUUCAUUCGCAAGAAAUAAAUAAUUAAACAACAAAAUGAAAAGAAGAUCUGGUUGGAGCAGGGGGGAAAAUAACAAUAAUAAAAAUAAU